UAUUAUAAUAUCAAACACUAUGAUGUUAAGGAUAACCCAACCCUUGUUUCACAUCGAGCUCGAAGUUUGAGUCUUGAACUAGACCUUGGUUUUCUUUUGCAGCUUGAAAGGGUGAAUGAGCUUUAAGCAUUUAUGCUUAAGGAAUUUCUAAAUGCACAAUUGUAAUUACAGGAAUCUAUAAGAAGGGCCUUUGAUUCCUUGUGACUUCAUCGACGACUGAAUGCGAAUUGGAGUCCACCACACUUUAUGAAAGAACUUGACGAGAAUAAUGACAAUGGAUAAGAACAGACAGCUUGAAAAGUAGAAUAUUGGGGUCGCCAUUGCUGCUAGAAGAAUGUGUUCUUCACUGACUGAACAUAAACAGAGAAACCCUGGUUUUAAUAUAGAGGGCUUUGGUACCUUGGAAUUGUUGUUUACAUGAGAGAAAACUACAUUCCCAUCUGGCUCUAUCCUCUAGACAGGUAGCAAAAACAACAACCACCUGUAGAUAGUGAGCUGCAUUGUAGAAUCUAUCGAAAAAAGCAGCAAAAACAACAACCACCUGUAGAUAGUGAACUGCAUUGUAGAAUCUAUCGAAAAAAGCAGUCCAAGACAACCUGUCCAAAAUCACAACCUUAAAGAACUUGCUCGUUUAGCAUUUUGCUA